rnacentral:rRNA from 1 species
UGGAGGUAGUGACAAUAAAUCACAAUGCGGGACUAUCAGUCUUGCAAUUGGAUUGAGAACAAUGUACAACUCUUAUCGAUAAGCCAUUGGAGGGCAAGUCUGGUGCCAGCAGCCGCGGUAAUUCCAGCUCCAAUAGCGUAUAUUAACGUUGUUGCAGUUAAAAAGCUCGUAGUUGAAGUGUGGGUGAUCGCUAUUGUGAGACUUCGGUCUCUCGACAGUAAGUCACCCCCUUCCAGUAUCCAGUAGUGGGUAUUCACUUACUUACUACUGUGUGUUGGUCCUUUACUGUGAGAAAAUUAGAGUGUUCAAAGCAGGCGUUUGCUUGAAUAGAUUAGCAUGGAAUAAUAAUUGAAGGCUUUCGUGUUCGAUUUGAUUGGUUUGUUCAUGGAAGCAAGGUUAAAAGGAACAGUUGGGGGUAUUCAUAUUCACUAGUUAGAGGUGAAAUUCUCGGAUUUAUGGAAGAUGAACAAGUGCGAAAGCAA